rnacentral:rRNA from 1 species
GACGAACGCUGGCGGCGUGCUUAACACAUGCAAGUCGAACGGAAAGGCCCUGCUUUUGCGGGGUGCUCGAGUGGCGAACGGGUGAGUAAAACGUGAGUAACCUGCCCUUGUCUUUGGGAUAACUUCAGGAAACUGGGGCUAAUACAGGAUAGGAGCUCCUGCUGCACGGUGGGGGUUGGAAAGUUUCGGCGGUUGGGGAUGGACUCGCGGCUUAUCAGCUUGUUGGUGGGGUAGUGGCUUACCAAGGCUUUGACGGGUAGCCGGCCUGAGAGGGUGAACGGCCACAUUGGGACUGAGAGACGGCCCAGUCGCCUACGUGAGGCAGCAGUGGGGAAUAUGGCACAGUGGGCGGAAGCCUGAUGCAGCAACGCCGCGUGCGGGAUGACGGCCUUCGAGUUGUAAACCGCUUUCGCCUGUGACGAAGCGUGAGUGACGGUAAUGGGUAAAGAAGCACCGGCUAACUACGUG